GACGAACGCUGGCGGCGUGCUUAACACAUGCAAGUCGAACGGUAAGGCCCUUCGGGGUUCACGAGUGGCGAACGGGUGAGUAACACGUGGGUGAUCUGCCCUGCACUUCGGGAUAAGCCUGGGAAACUGGGUCUAAUACCGGAUAGGACCCUGGGAUGCAUGUCCUGGGGUGGAAAGCUUUUGCGGUGUGGGAUGGGCCCGCGGCCUAUCAGCUUGUUGGUGGGGUGAUGGCCUACCAAGGCGACGACGGGUAGCCGGACUGAGAGAGUGACCGGCCGCACGGUGACUGAGAUAAGGACCAGGUUCGUACGGGAGGCAGCCGUGGGCAAUAUUGCACAAUGGGCGCAGGACUGAUGCAGCGACGCCGCGUGAGGGAUGACGGCCUUCGGGUUGUAAACCUCUUUCAGCACCGACGAAGCGCAAGUGACGGUAGGUGCAGAAGAAGGACCGGCCAAGUACGUGCCAGCCGCCGCGGUAA
rnacentral:rRNA from 1 species